AUGAAGGCUCUACUUUGGCUUUACCAUGUUUUGUGCUUUCUUUGCUACUGCCGUGCUGUGCCCCAAAUGUCGAGACUGAGUGCGAGUUCAAGCCCAUUGACUGGAAAUAUGUCACCAAUAUAUAGCUACUUUGAUAUACCAUGGCUGGCAUCUAUACCUGGAAAUUGCCAGGGUAUUGUCCUGACUCCAUGGCUGAUUCUUUCUACAGCUAACUGUCUGAAGAAAUUGAAACCGUUAUACCUGGACAUUUCAGGAGUAAAUGACCCAGAAAGCAUUCCACAUGGCCAAAGAAUCUGCCUCCACCCCAAGUUUAAUCCCAAAGAUGAAAAUGAUCCAGUGGAAGCAGAUAUUGGCUUGAUCAUUCUUGAAGAGCCUAUUUACGGGGAUGAAAUACCACUAUCUCAGUUCACUAAUAUAUCCUUGAAGAGCUGUUCUAAGUGCCAAUACAAAAGCUGUUAUGUGUAUGAAUAUCAGAGUAGCAAGAAGCUCGGAACCACCAGAGUAAAGAAGAUAGAUGUGCAGCUUCUAGAUUUCUCAACAUGCCACCACCAGCAUUCCUAUCUAGAGAAGACUGUGGGCUUGUGUAUUCAGAGUCAACCACGGGAAGACUGCUGGAUACAGCAAGCCAGUCCUGUUCUAUGUCUCCUAAAGAACCACUGGGAACUAGUGGGCCUCAUACAUAGGACUUCAAAGAUAUGUCAAAAUCCCACAGUCAUCAUUAGAACAACUCCUUACUUUACCUGGAUAAAACGAUUCAUCAAGGCAGGAGCUUCAAAGCCAAGAUCUUCUCCCAGAUACGAUAAUAGAUCUGGUGCUAUUCUUUUGAGUUGCAGUAAGUGGAAGUAUAUAGGGAAACAG
rnacentral:lncRNA from 14 species